rnacentral:rRNA from 1 species
CACGCCGUAAACGAUGGGUACUAGGUGUCUGGGGGAGCGACCCCCUGGGUGCCGGCGCUAACGCAUGAAGUACCCCGCCUGGGGAGUACGGCCGCAAGGCUGAAACUCAAAGGAAUUGACGGGGGCCCGCACAAGCGGUGGAGCAUGUGGUUUAAUUCGACGCAACGCGAAGAACCUUACCUAGGCUUGACAUGCUGGAGAAAGCUCGCAGAAACGUGAGCCCCUCUUCGGAGUUCCAGCACAGAUGC